CCUCUCAAUGGCGCAGCCGGGCGCCCUCUUAGACCCUAAUUCGUAAUCCCCGUCGCCCCAGUCGGUGACCGCCAUCGGUGGAUCCGAUGGUCUGCGACACCGGAGCCAACGCCGACUUCGGAUCCCUCUCUUCUUCCGGGUGGGAAUUUAGAUGCUGCAGCCUGACAAGGUUAAGAGGCAGAUGUCCAUUUUGGAUGGAAAACUUCUAGUGCACUUUGAAGCAGUGGAGACAAGGUUUCUGCGUGCAUCAUUUAGUGCAUUUGUGGAUCUUAUUAUUCUAACUACACCCAUCAUCGAAGAAUACAGCAAAACAACAUUCCUACGACAAUGUCAUGGCCAUAAACAGCAUUUUGCUGGUGAAAGUGAGCAGAAUAUGUCGACUGCUCUAUGUAUAAGAUAACUAAUUAAUGUUGGUUUCCUCGUUAGAUGAAAGAGAUAUUAAUUUAUUGA